GGAAGAGGCUUAGCUACAACAGUUAAAGUUAUGUUCAAAUUGAUUGCAGUUUCAACUGCAGCUGUUGGAGAGAAUGCUUUUAAAUAAAAAGUAAAGUUACCUUACUAAUCACUUUUUAAAUAAAAAAUUUUUUAUAUUUCACAUAAUCUCACCACCAUGUAUAAAAUAAUAAAAUUUUAAAAAUAUAUAUAUAUAAACUGCAUGCAAUCAAAUAAACUAUUCUUAGUUAUAAUACUUUUAAAUAUAUACAACCAAGAAAUAUACAUAAAAUUAUUACUGUUAUAUUUUUAAUUAUAUUCAACUC
rnacentral:lncRNA from 1 species